AAGCGAAAGUAGAAACGCACGUUAGCUUUGCAGCAUAGAACAAGGCAGCCUUCUUACCUUGCACUGUGCCAGUCACAAAUCUAACAGAUUAUACUUCCAAACGGUUUAAUACUGCUUUACCGAGUAUUUGGAAUUUUAUCAUGCGGAUUUAAGAAGUUGUUCUGUGCAGUUCGAUUUGAACUCCAACGUUUAAUGAAAGAAAUAUUGCAGAGAUGUGAGUAAUUGCAACAUGAUCAGAGCUCGUGGAAGGGCAGUCGUCCUCUACACUGUGCCCUAUAAUUAAGGAGCUGCAACAUGUCUACAACAUACGGACUGCCCUGUUCCACUUUAAUUAGCAUCUGUGGAAGAAACUCUUGGCUUCUCUGACAACAAGACUGGUUCAACAAGAAUGACUAGGAGACCUGGGAGCAAAAGAAAGGUGGAUAAGGAGCUCAUGGUGAAAUAUUUCACAGGCACCUGAAGGCUGAAGUCUUGUAGAAGACUUGCAACAUAUGGAACAGAUAGCUGGUGGACAAAUCACAGGAAGCCCAGUGAUUUGCAGACAACCUGCAGGCUCUCCAGCAGUGGCAAGGCCAUCAGCUGCCAAGCCCACCCUACCGACAGCCUAGAACUGAGGUGAAUUUGCCCAAGAUUGAAGGUGUUCUGACUGUAAGCAGCACUUUGAAGAUGCGUAUCUCCUCAACAACUCAGGCCUUGCUAUGAGCCAGCUUACCUAUGCCAAAGCAAUCUAUGUUUUCUAGCCUUGCCUCCUCUCCUAACUGAAAGGAAAUCAAAGAAAGACUGCAUUAAUGAAAACAAAUUACAAAGGCUCAGAAGCAAAUAUUAUUCCUGCUGAGAGUAAGAAACUUCCACGACAUUACGGCCCACAUUUGGGAAAAGGAGGACGUGCCAAAGGACAUCAAGGACACUCUAAUUAUGACUACAUGCAAAAAAAGAGAAUGAUCCAAGUGCUUAACUACAGAGGGAUCUUCCUUCAGUCAUGAUUCUCCUCAAUCACCUUUUCUCAAAGAGCUUUGCCUGAGUUAUAUCCAUCUAGAAACAAAGUCAAUUUAAUUUUCACCACAUGGCAACUCCAAGUGAAAUUCAAAGGACAUCGACCAUUGUACAUGGUCUUUUUUCAGACCUCACUAGAACUGUAUAGGACUGUGGGGCAUCGUCCUCAAAUUCAGUAGCCUGAAGAAACCUGUCCUGAGACUCACUAGAUUCCUGGUUCUCGUGCCCUUCGGAAAUUUACUGCGUUCACUGGAAAUUUUAUUCUACUAUAAUUUAAAAUAAUUUAAAAAGUAAUUUAAAAUGAGUUGGGGAUAAAUAGUGUCCAAUAAACUGGAAAAUCCAGCAGUCCAGCUCUACAGAAGUCCCAAGACUGCUAGGUUAUUGGAUCUUUACUGUACAACCAACAGAUUUUGUGCCUCCGCAAAAUUCUCCAAAUUCAAUGGAGCCAGUGCUGCCAGCAUUGACAUCAUCAUUAGAUCGGUUCUGUUGGACAAGACCUAAUGAACACGUGGAUUGACAGCUUCCCCAAAGAAAGACAGAUUGUUCUGAGCCCUGGUAAGGUAAGAGAUGACCAGAUGGACAGAAAGGGGAAAAAAAAAAGGAUGUUCCCAGCGUUUCUUGGGGGGAAAAGUCAACAUCCUCACUGACUUCUGUGAACCCCUGGUCCAUAACCACUUAGAAUGCAGAAUGAACAUUGUGAAAAUUUAGUUCACAUGAAUUGAAAGCACGGGGUCUAAAUGGAACCACCCAAAGGAACACACACCUUGCAAGCUACCUACUUGUCAAUCCUUUUAGGCACCUCCUACCCCACGUGUGAUGGAGUUUACAAGUAGCACAUUGCAACCUCAGAAGCCAUGGAACUGGUGUUAUCUUUGAUCCCAACAAACUGCACAGUAAAAAUGUGUUGACAGGUAGACUCAUCCUGCUGUGGUAAGACCAUAAGACAUUGGAACAGAAUUCGGCCCAUCAAGUCUGCUCCGCCAUUCAAUCACGGCUGAUUGGUUUUCCUUCUCAUCCCUAUCCUCCUGCCUUAUAUCUGUAACCUUUGAUGCCAUUACUAAUUAAGAACCUAUCAUCCUCCACUUUAAAUAUAAUUUGGGGAGAAGAAUUGUGAAGAAUUUCAAUUCUUCAGUAAGUAAGAAAAUUUAACGUAUAUUUAAAAUCAGGCAGAGAUCUGUGUGUCUGUCCAGGAUUUCAGAAAGGAUUUUUUUUCAUCGUUGGUUGGAAUUCACCUUUACAAAUGAACGGCACUGUAUAAAAGGUGUUUACUUCUGUUUAUUUUUAAAUGUCAUAAAAUAAAGUCAUCCCAA